GUGGGGAAUUUUGGACAAUGGGCGAAAGCCUGAUCCAGCCAUGCCGCGUGUAGGAUGAAGGCCUUCGGGUUGUAAACUGCUUUUGUACGGAACGAAAAGACUCCUUCUAAUAAAGGGGGUCCAUGACGGUACCGUAAGAAUAAGCACCGGCUAACUACGUGCCAGCAGCCGCGGUAAUACGUAGGGUGCAAGCGUUAAUCGGAAUUACUGGGCGUAAAGCGUGCGCAGGCGGUUAUAUAAGACAGAUGUGAAAUCCCCGGGCUCAACCUGGGAACUGCAUUUGUGACUGUAUAGCUAGAGUACGGUAGAGGGGGAUGGAAUUCCGCGUGUAGCAGUGAAAUGCGUAGAUAUGCGGAGGAACACCGAUGGCGAAGGCAAUCCCCUGGACCUGUACUGACGCUCAUGCACGAAAGCGUGGGGAGCAAACAGGAUUAGAUACCCGAGUAGUCC
rnacentral:rRNA from 1 species